rnacentral:rRNA from 1 species
AGAGUUUGAUCAUGGCUCAGGACGAACGCUGGCGGCGUGCUUAACACAUGCAAGUCGAACGAUGAACCACUUCGGUGGGGAUUAGUGGCGAACGGGUGAGUAACACGUGGGCAAUCUGCCCUGCACUCUGGGACAAGCCCUGGAAACGGGGUCUAAUACCGGAUACUGACCCGCUUGGGCAUCCAAGCGGUUCGAAAGCUCCGGCGGUGCAGGAUGAGCCCGCGGCCUAUCAGCUUGUUGGUGAGGUAAUGGCUCACCAAGGCGACGACGGGUAGCCGGCCUGAGAGGGCGACCGGCCACACUGGGACUGAGACACGGCCCAGACUCCUACGGGAGGCAGCAGUGGGGAAUAUUGCACAAUGGGCGAAAGCCUGAUGCAGCGACGCCGCGUGAGGGAUGACGGCCUUCGGGUUGUAAACCUCUUUCAGCAGGGAAGAAGCGAAAGUGACGGUACCUGCAGAAGAAGCGCCGGCUAACUACGUGCCAGCAGCCGCGGUAAUACGUAGGGCGCGAGCGUUGUCCGGAAUUAUUGGGCGUAAAGAGCUCGUAGGCGGCUUGUCACGUCGGUUGUGAAAGCCCGGGGCUUAACCCCGGGUCUGCAGUCGAUACGGGCAGGCUAGAGUUCGGUAGGGGAGAUCGGAAUUCCUGGUGUAGCGGUGAAAUGCGCAGAUAUCAGGAGGAACACCGGUGGCGAAGGCGGAUCUCUGGGCCGAUACUGACGCUGAGGAGCGAAAGCGUGGGGAGCGAACAGGAUUAGAUACCCUGGUAGUCCACGCCGUAAACGGUGGGCACUAGGUGUGGGCGACAUUCCACGUCGUCCGUGCCGCAGCUAACGCAUUAAGUGCCCCGCCUGGGGAGUACGGCCGCAAGGCUAAAACUCAAAGGAAUUGACGG